UGUGCACACCCUGCUCAUCCACUCUACACCUGUGCACUUACUGUGGGUUCCAGACGUUGUGAAGCGGGCUCUUUACGGAGCUUGUAAAGCGGCGUGCCUGUGCCUGCGUUUAUCACAAACUCUAUAAAGUAUUAGAAUGUGUAUUGCGAUGUAACGCAUCUAUAUACAACUUUCAGCAACGGAUCUCUUGGCUCUCGCAUCGAUGAAGAACGCAGCGAAAUGCGAUAAGUAAUGUGAAUUGCAGAAUUCAGUGAAUCAUCGAAUCUUUGAACGCACCUUGCGCUCCUUGGUAUUCCGAGGAGCAUGCCUGUUUGAGUGUCAUGAAAUCUUCAACUUACAGACCUUUGCGGGUUUGUAGGCUUGGACUUUGGAGGCUUGUCGGCCAUGUUUUGGUCGGCUCCACUUAAAUGUAUUAGCUUGAUUCCUUGCGGAUCGGCUCUCGGUGUGAUAAUGUCUANNNCGCGACCGUGAAGCGUUUUGGCGAGCUUCUAACCGUCUCGUUUGUGAGACAGNUUUAUCA
rnacentral:rRNA from 1 species